AUCGAAUGUGGAUCAAUAAAAUCAACCUGCGCACUGCUAAUGGAAACAGUUUCGAACGGAUAAACAAGCGAUCUGGUGUUGUUAAUUUUGCCUCAAACAAAAUACUAAAGAAAUGCCUCCUCCACACGCAUUACCUUGCGGGCCAUACUGUGGUACUGGGAACUGCGCUCCGCAUUGCUAUCACAGGAACAAAAUCAUAGUACAACCGACACCGCCGCACUACCCGCCGGCACAAUACCCGCCGCAAUAUCCUUAUCCUCCCUCACACCAUCACCCACAUAACCCUCCGCCCCAUCACCCUCCGCCACACCAUCACAACCCUCCGCCACACCAUCAUCACCCUCCGCCACAUCAUCCCCACCAUCCACCUCCCCAUCACCACGUACCGCAACACAAUUUACGAUAAAUCCAGUAUUCGAACGUUGACUAUGACCUCAAUAUUGUGAUAACGACAAUUCCAAGAUCUGGCUGUGAUUAUUUUCAUUUUCCUGCUCAAUCAUAAGUGAUUAUAAAGAUUAUAAAAAACUGAUUAAACAACAAAGGCUUUAUAUCAAAUGUUAUUUACAGAAAAUAAAUGAUUACAAGUACUACAA